UACGUAGGUGGCAAGCGUUGUCCGGAUUUAUUGGGUUUAAAGGGUGCGUAGGCGGCUUUGUAAGUCAGUGGUGAAAUAUGGCAGCUCAACUGUCAAGGUGCCAUUGAUACUGCAGAGCUUGAGUACAGAUGGGGUAGGCGGAAUUGACGGUGUAGCGGUGAAAUGCUUAGAUAUCGUCAAGAACACCUAUAGCGAAGGCAGCUUACUAGGCUGUAACUGACGCUGAGGCACGAAAGUGUGGGGAUCAAACGGG
rnacentral:rRNA from 1 species